UACGUAGGGUCCGAGCGUUGUCCGGAAUUACUGGGCGUAAAGAGCUCGUAGGUGGUUUGUCGCGUUGUCCGUGAAAACUCACAGCUCAACUGUGGGCGUGCGGGCGAUACGGGCAGACUGGAGUACUGCAGGGGAGACUGGAAUUCCUGGUGUAGCGGUGGAAUGCGCAGAUAUCAGGAGGAACACCGGUGGCGAAGGCGGGUCUCUGGACAGUUCCUGACACUGAGACACGAAGGCCAGGGGAGCAAACGGG
rnacentral:rRNA from 1 species